rnacentral:rRNA from 1 species
AGGGUUUGAUCCUGGCUCAGAACGUACGCUGGCGGCACGCCUAACACGUGCAAGUCGAACGAAGUAGCAAUACUUAGUGGCAGACGGGUGAGUAACAUGUGGGUAUCUGCCCUUUGGCCUGGAAUAACACGAGGAAACUUGUGCUAAUACCGGAUAAGUCUUUACGGAGAAAGCUUUAUGCACCAUUGGAUGAGCCCGCACUUGAUUAGUUUGUUGGUGGGGUAAUGGCCUACCAAGACUGUGAUCAAUAGCUGAUUUGAGAGGAUGAUCAGCCACAUUGGGACUGAGACACGGCCCAAACUCCUACGGGAGGCAGCAGUGGGGAAUCUUGCACAAUGGAGGAAACUCUGAUGCAGCGAUGCCGCGUGAGUGAAGAAGGCCCUUGGGUUGUAAAGCUCUUUCGUCGGGGAAGAAAAUGACUGUACCCGAAUAAGAAGGUCCGGCUAACUUCGUGCCAGCAGCCGCGGUAAUACGAAGGGACCUAGCGUAGUUCGGAAUUACUGGGCUUAAAGAGUUCGUAGGUGGUUGAAAAAGUUGGUGGUGAAAUCCCAGAGCUUAACUCUGGAACUGCCAUCAAAACUUUUCAGCUAGAGUAUGAUAGAGGAAAGCAGAAUUUCUAGUGUAGAGGUGAAAUUCGUAGAUAUUAGAAAGAAUACCAAUUGCGAAGGCAGCUUUCUGGAUCAUUACUGACACUGAGGAACGAAAGCAUGGGUAGCGAAGAGGAUUAGAUACCCUCGUAGUCCAUGCCGUAAACGAUGUGUGUUAGACGUUGGAAAUUUUUUCAGUGCCGCAGCGAAAGCGAUAAACACACCGCCUGGGGAGUACGACCGCAAGGUUAAAACUCAAAUGAAUUGACGGGGACCCGCACAAGUAGUGGAGCAUGUGGUUUAAUUCGAAGAUACGCGCAGAACCUUACCAACACUUGACAUGUUCGUCGCGACUUUAAGAGAUUAAAGUUUUCGGUUCGGCCGGACGAAACACAGGUGCUGCAUGGCUGUCGUCAGCUCGUGUCGUGAGAUGUUGGGUUAAGUCCCGCAACGAGCGCAACCCUCACUUUUAGUUGCCAUCAUUAAGUCGGGCACUCUGAAAGAACUGCCAGUGAUAAGCUGGAGGAAGGUGGGGAUGACGUCAAGUCCUCAUGGCCCUUACGUGUUGGGCUACACACGUGCUACAAUGGUAUCUACAACAGGAAGCAAGACGGCGACGUCAAGCAAAUCCUUAAAAGAUACCUCAGUUCGGAUUGCACUCUGCAACUCGAGUGCAUGAAGCUGGAAUUACUAGUAAUCGUGGAUCAGCGUGCCACGGUGAAUGCGUUCCCGGGUCUUGUACACACCGCCCGUCACACCAUGGGAGUUGGUUCUACCUUAAGGCAAGGUUUAAAACCCUUGACCACGGUAUAGUCAGCGACUGGGGUGAAGUCGUAACAAGGUAGCCAAGGG